rnacentral:lncRNA from 1 species
CCUCCUGAGUAACAUUACCACCUAAAUACCUGGCACCAGCCGGCUGCUACAGAGUGAGAUGUGUCAGGGCUCUCACGAACGUGAAAUCUCUCAGCACUGCCAGACUGCAGACAUGACAAGAGGUGGGAGGAGGAGGGAGCUGAUUGCACUGUGUUGCUUUCUUAUGGAGGAUAAAGAUAGUGUGUUUUUCCAAAAGCAAACUAUCACUAAUGCCAGAGAGGAAUGUAGCAGAAAAUGAAAAAGAAGAUGAAGACCCUUUGAAAAUUCAUAGCAGCAAGAGAACGAGAGGAAGCUUGGAGAACCUGUGAGAAAUUCGUAUUCCCCCUGUCCUAUCCCUGUGUCUCACAUCUCUGUGUUGCCUAUCUUCUCUCACUACUUUGUUGGAGAAUCUGACACAAGAUGGAAGUAUUGGAUGCUCAAAGAUAUGUUCUCAUCUAAAUUAGUUGAGGAUUACAUCGCUGUCAAUGAGAAAGGAAGAAAAGAAAGAGUGAGAGUGGAAAUCAUAUGCAAAAGGAUGAAUUACUAUGUGAGAAACCAUCUGAUGUUUGUAGUGAGUGUGGCCUUAGAGAGGCAUUGGCUCUCACCACAUUGGUAUCACCCAGGAAGGAGCCAGUUGAGGGUCUCUAGUGCCGGAGCCUGGGAUUUCCAAUAUGCAGAGAAAACAGGAGCCACUGGGAGGAGAAAAUGGAGGCCCAGAAAGCGAGGGAAG